AUUGAACGCUGGCGGCAGGCCUAACACAUGCAAGUCGAGCGGAUGAAGGGAGCUUGCUCCUGGAUUCAGCGGCGGACGGGUGAGUAAUGCCUAGGAAUCUGCCUGGGAGUGGGGGAUAACGUCCGGAAACGGGCGCUAAUCCCGCAUACGUCCUGAGGGAGAAAGUGGGGGAUCUUCGGACCUCACGCUAUCAGAUGAGCCUAGGUCGGAUUAGCUAGUUGGUGGGGUAAAGGCCUACCAAGGCGACGAUCCGUAACUGGUCUGAGAGGAUGAUCAGUCACACUGGAACUGAGACACGGUCCAGACUCCUACGGGAGGCAGCAGUGGGGAAUAUUGGACAAUGGGCGAAAGCCUGAUCCAGCCAUGCCGCGUGUGUGAAGAAGGUCUUCGGAUUGUAAAGCACUUUAAGUUGGGAGGAAGGGCAGUAAGUUAAUACCUUGCUGUUUUGACGUUACCAACAGAAUAAGCACCGGCUAACUUCGUG
rnacentral:rRNA from 1 species